rnacentral:rRNA from 1 species
GAUGAACGCCGGCGGCGUGCUUAACACAUGCAAGUCGAACGAAGCGCUUUUAUUUGAUUUCUUCGGAAUGAAGAUUUUAGUGACUGAGUGGCGGACGGGUGAGUAACGCGUGGGUAACCUGCCUCAUACAGGGGGAUAACAGUUAGAAAUGACUGCUAAUACCGCAUAAGACCACAGUACCGCAUGGUACAGGGGUAAAAACUCCGGUGGUAUGAGAUGGACCCGCGUCUGAUUAGGUAGUUGGUGGGGUAACGGCCUACCAAGCCGACGAUCAGUAGCCGGCCUGAGAGGGUGACCGGCCACAUUGGGACUGAGACACGGCCCAAACUCCUACGGGAGGCAGCAGUGGGGAAUAUUGCACAAUGGGGGAAACCCUGAUGCAGCGACGCCGCGUGAGCGAUGAAGUAUUUCGGUAUGUAAAGCUCUAUCAGCAGGGAAGAAAAUGACAGUACCUGACUAAGAAGCACCGGCUAAAUACGUGCCAGCCGCCGCAGUAA